UAUGGUAUGUGCCAGCAGCCGCGGUAAUACGUAGGUGGCGAGCGUUGUCCGGAAUUAUUGGGCGUAAAGAGCAUGUAGGCGGUUUUUUAAGUCUGGAGUGAAAAUGCGGGGCUCAACCCCGUAUGGCUCUGGAUACUGGAAGACUUGAGUGCAGGAGAGGAAAGGGGAAUUCCCAGUGUAGCGGUGAAAUGCGUAGAUAUUGGGAGGAACACCAGUGGCGAAGGCGCCUUUCUGGACUGUGUCUGACGCUGAGAUGCGAAAGCCAGGGUAGCGAACGGG
rnacentral:rRNA from 1 species